rnacentral:rRNA from 1 species
UACGUAGGGAGCAAGCGUUGUCCGGAAUCAUUGGGCGUAAAGAGCUCGUAGGUGGUUUGUCGCGUUGUCCGUGAAAACUCACAACUCAAUUGUGGGCGUGCGGGCGAUACGGGCAGACUGGAGUACUGCAGGGGAGACUGGAAUUCCUGGUGUAGCGGUGGAAUGCGCAGAUAUCAGGAGGAACACCGGUGGCGAAGGCGGGUCUCUGGGCAGUAACUGACGCUGAGGAGCGAAAGCGUGGGGAGCGAACAGG